rnacentral:rRNA from 1 species
UCCGCUGACGACCGGCGCGACGGGUGAGUAACGACGUAUGCAACCUCGCCCGACAACAUUGGGAUAAUCCGGCGAAAGUCGGUCUAAUACCGAAUGACAUCAAUUGAUCGCAUGUUUAAUUGAUUAAAGAUUUAUUGGUUGCGGAUGGGCAUGCGUAGCAUUAGGCAGUUGGUGAGGUAACGGCUCACCAAACCGACGAUGCUUAGGGGUUCUGAGAGGAAGGUCCCCCACACUGGUACUGAGACACGGACCAGACUCCUACGGGAGGCAGCAGUGAGGAAUAUUGGUCAAUGGACGCAAGUCUGAACCAGCCAAGUCGCGUGUAGGAAGAACCUGCCCUAGUGGGUUGUAAACUGUCUUUUAUAUAGGAAUAAAGUUAGUUACGUGUAGCUAUUUGCAUGUACUAUAUGAAUAAGGAUCGGCUAACUCCGUGCCAGCAGCUGC